AGCAUUCACCCUGUUACAGGCAACAAAGUUAUUCCUCCUCCUAUCCAUGGACACAUUAUGAGCCCAUUUUCAAAACUGAGGUGGCAACGAAGCAGAGUGGCAUCUAAUCCAUUUCUAAGAGACAGAGACUGUCUCACUAUCUGAUGACGUCUCAUCUCAGCCUGCUGUCUUCAGAGAGUGGCCUGUGCAGAGAACGUGAACUGUAAGAGGAGAUACCAGCAAAUCCAGGGCUUCUGAAAUACAAAGAUGCUGUAUGAUAGCAGAAUUCCAGGCAAGGGUGAAUGGCUUUGAGGAAGAUUGGAGAUUCUGAAGAUUCUCACUUCUUGAUUGAGUUACAACAUAAAGUGCUAUCAGUUAAAGAGCUUUCAGCUUACCCCGGCUCCAGGAUUGGAGGCAGCCUCCCAGAAAGUAUGACAA